UCAGAUACAGUGGCUGCAGAAAUUAUCGAUGCGUAGCCUUAUCUUGCAGCGAAACGUCCCUUUAUCAGAGACUUUCAUAGCGGUAAAUUAAUGCAGUCGUAUGAAACUAUUACACUGAAUCGUGCGAGAUAUAUUUCGCUCUAUUUAAUUAGCAUCAUAGACGUUGCAGUUGUCACGUAGGAGACACAAGAAAUCCAGUGGUUCCAGGAUUUUGGAGAUAGUCCAAACUUCCGGGUGGAGCCUGUAGAAUUUUAAUUACGCCGGUGGCCAGACCCAGACAACAAAAGGCAGCCGCGUAUUCGGUACACAAGCAAGCUUGAUCAAUUUAUUUAAACAAGAUUUCAUUAAUGGAAAUAUAUGCUGUUGAAACUGUAACGUUUCCUAAUA